ensembl:lncRNA
GUUCACAACCUCUUCUCUGCCUCUUCUCAGUAGUACAUUGUGACUGUAUGGGAGUAGAGAAUGAUGCUACUUUGAAGCAAUUAAAAUCCCAAGAUGCACAGUAUAUCCAUACUGCUUUUAGGCCUGUGGAACCAAAUUGUAACUCGAAGUGUGGAUCUUUUCCUAUUACACUUGAGCCUCUGUCAUGGUGAACCAGAAAAAGGAGGAUGUAAGUAAACUAGCAAUACCACACUGCCACAAAGCACUGAGGGGAGGACGGUUGUUUACAUAUAAUGAAACCUCAUCCUGUCUGUUGGACCCUUCAUCCUGUCAGUCUACCAUUACUGUAAUACAGAAUACAUAUUAGAAGGAUUUGAGAGGAACCCACCAUUUGUUUUCUUCCAGUCACAAAACAGCCACCAGCAGAAGAGCUGGAUUCAGACGAUUGAAAGGUGCAUAUAAGGAUUUAAUCUAUCUGGAAAAAAAAAAAAAAAAAUAAGUGGAGAGGUGAGGCCAAAACUGGCCUGUAAACUGUGGACAAAGAGGUUGGCCUUGUCUAUCUCCCCAUUCACAUAAAGCAAAACACUUGACAAAGAGAAGCAGCAGUUGAAUGACGGUAAGUCCAAAUUAUGUCCCAGACAUCUACUUUACACAGAGCAUUAUCAGUACGUUGACUCUACUCACUGCAUAGCUACUCGCAAGUUGUGCCAGGCAAUUUUCUCUUCUGUGUGCCCUAGGGCUCUUUCCCUUUUCCUUACCAUCAUACAAUUAUGUGUAAAAAAGACAAAAUCUUAAUGUAUUGUAACUGUCACACUGCGCUUGAAAUAGUUACUUGAGAAAACCAAAGAAAGACUGAACACAAGGUGAUAUUUCCUGUCAAACAAGGGUGUGCCACAUUAACAGAGGGCAGUGGAAAGGAGGUGUGGUAGUAUUGGCACUUAUAAAACAGCUCUGUCAGAGCAUUUUAUCACAACUCCAACAAAUUGGGAAGAGAAAGGGCAGAACUCAUUUCACCUGCAUGCCAUGUGCUUACUUAUUAUCUAUGUUUAUAAAGCAAUUGUGUGUUUAUUAAGUGAUAAAAUGAACUGACUUGCAUCAGAUGACAUCUUAAAUUAAGAAUUUCUACAGUGUGCUGAAGGGAAGAACAUAUUUAGUACUGUUGUUUACAUAUGUGUGCAUGCCUACAAACAAGAACGUCUAUAAACAUAACUGCCAGGAUAAAGCUAAAGGUGAGCCAUAAACUCUUUAUUUCAACAAGAUCUCAGUUACAAAUUAACUUUGUAAUGCUCAGUGUACAGUGUUUAUACCACAUGGUGUUUCAGGAAGUAGAUCCUGUUGCUGUUCUCUGGAGACAUGCGAUGUCAUUCCUCUGCAUUUUUUAAAUCAAUAAUGUGGCAGAGUUAUGGGUAGAGGGGAGUGGGAAGACGAUUGCCAAACUUGAAAACUUGUCGAGGUCUUUGGCAUUGAUAUGAAUAGAGUUUCCUUAGCAUGGUAUGUUGCUCAAGUAAAUUACAUUAAUUUUUUAUUUAAUUUUUUUUUUUUUUUUCAUGUUAGAUCAUAGAAGAGAGGUGCAGAGGUACUGGCAUUCUUUGUGCCAGUUCACAGAUGUCUGUAAGCAUAUAUGUCAAGCUAAGAAUAUAUGAAGUGUAUAGUCUUCCAUACAAAUCCAAUAGCUAUCAUUUUGUAUGAAGUAGAUACAUGUUAAGGCUUUGAAAUGACACCCUUGUAAAGGUAGCUAAAUUGUGCCAGACUUGUGGCUAAAUGUGACACUUUUUUUUUUUUUUCUGUGAACAGCUAAAAUUUGCGUUUUCAUUCAUGUGUACAGUUGCUACCUUCCCCCAGACACCUCUGUGGUAUACAUACAUUUGGAAUGGGAACAAUAGGUCGGGAUAAGAGGAACACUUGAAAUGAACGUAUUUUUAUGGUUCUGAUAAAGGGAUAAGAAUCAUCCCACACACAAUUAACAAGCUGUUAAGCUGCUUCAUUCCCAGUAUAUCCAACCAGAAGGAGCAUCAAUGGGAUCUUCUAUACAUGCACUGACAGAGGAAAAUAUUCACAGCUGUUAUGUGAAUUCAUCAGUGCCAGAAAACACACUGCUGAAUAUAUUCUUAUUAUGUAAGUAUAUGUAUGUUACAGAUUAAAGUUUUUACCUCCAUGUAUCUGGGAAUUUUCCCCUUGUACAG